GGGGUUGUAGCUCAGUGGUGGAGCACUCACCUAGCAUGUGCAAGACCCUGGGUUCAAUCCUCAGCACCACA
rnacentral:tRNA from 1 species